UCUCCGUAGGUGAACCUGCGGAGGGAUCAUUCACAUGAUUUACUUUAUAAACAAACCGUGAACUUUAUAUACUAUUCGUGUUGUAAUGUUUAUCAUUAUUUACACUGUCAUUCGAUGAACAUUAGAUAGCUGGCUCGUUUAUUAAUAAACUUUCUCAGCUGAUUUGUUUGUUAGACUAAACAUCUAUUCAAUCAAUCAACCAAACAUAGAAACAACUCUAUGCCCUGGAUAUCUUGGUUCUC
rnacentral:misc_RNA from 1 species